CAGUCGCCGCGGGAAUACAGAGGGUGCGAGCGUUAAUCGGAUUUACUGGGCGUAAAGCGUGCGUAGGCGGCUUCUUAAGUCGGAUGUGAAAUCCCUGAGCUUAACUUAGGAAUUGCAUUCGAUACUGGGAAGCUAGAGUAUGGGAGAGGAUGGUAGAAUUCCAGGUGUAGCGGUGAAAUGCGUAUAGAUCUGGAGGAAUACCGAUGGCGAAGGCAGCCAUCUGGCCUAAUACUGACGCUGAGGUACGAAAGCAUGGGGAGCAAACAGGAUUAGAUACCCCAGUAGUCCCUGUCUCUUAUAA
rnacentral:rRNA from 1 species